CCCACACGGGGAACCCCAAAAUACCAAAAAUGCAAAAAUUCCCACAAAAAUCCCACAAAAAUUCCCAUAAAAGUGCCCCAAAAAUGCCCCAAAAUUGCCUCAAAACGCCCAAAGUUGUGGUUUUUAUCCUCAAAAUCUUCCCCAAAAAUGACCCAAGUCCUCCAAAUUCACCCCAAAAUUCCCCAAAUUCACCCUAAAAUCCACACAGGGAAACCCAAAAUACCAAAAAUACAAAAAUUCCCAGAAAAAUCCUACAAAAAUUCCCACAAAAAUGCCCCAAAAAUGCCCAAAUUUGGGGUUUUUGUUGCCGCUUCCCCAACCAGAACCAGACCAGGAACUGCUGGCAGAACUACCUGGGUAUGGAGCCCCAAAAUCAACCAAAUUCACCCCAAAAUUCCCCAAAUUCACCCCAAAAUCCACACGGGGAACCCCGAAAUCACAAAAUGCAAAAAAUCCCACAAAAAUCCCACAAAAAAUGGCCCAAAAAACCCAAAAAUUACCCCAAAAAUGACCCAAAAUUGCCUCAAAAAUGCCCCCAAAACGCCCAAGUUUGUGGUUUUAUCCCCAAAAUCUUCCCCAAAAACUCCCCAAAUCCUCCAAAUUCACCCCAAAAUUCCCCAAAUUCACCCUAAAAUCCACAUGGGGAACCCCAAAAUCACAAAAAUGCAAAAAUUCUCACAAAAAUCCCACAAAACUUCCCACAAAAAUGCCCCAAAAAUGCCCAAAUUUGGGGUUUUUGUUGCUGCUUCCCCAACCAGAACCAGACCCGCAACUGCUGGCAGAACUACCUGGGUAUGGAGCCCCAAAAUGCCCCAAAUUCACCCCAAAAUUCCCCAAAUUCACCCCAAAAUCCACACGGGGAACCCCGAAAUCACAAAAAUGCAAAAAUUCCCACAAAAAUCCCACAAAAAAUGGCCCAAAAAACCCAAAAAUUACCCCAAAAAUGACCCAAAGUUGCCUCAAAAAUGCCCCCAAAACGCCCAAGUUUGUGGUUUUAUCCCCAAAAUCUUCCCCAAAAACUCCCCAAAUCCUCCAAAUUCACCCCAAAAUUCCCCAAAUUCACCCUAAAAUCCACAUGGGGAACCCCAAAAUCACAAAAAUGCAAAAAAUUCCCACAAAAAUCCCACAAAAAUUCCCACAAAAAUGCCCCAAAAGUGCCCAAAUUUGGGGUUUUUGUCGCCGCUUCCCCAACCAGAACCAGACCCGCAACUGCUGGCAGAACUACCUGGAUUUCCAGCGGUGCCAGCGCGCCAUGGACGCCCGCGGCGCCGAUGCCACCCCGUGCCAGUGGUACUUCCGCGUCUACAAGUCCCUGUGCCCGACCUCGUGGGUGACGGCGUGGGACGAGGCCCGUGAGGAGGG